UGAUGAACGCUAGCUACAGGCUUAACACAUGCAAGUCGAGCGGUAGCAUGGUCUUAGCUUGCUAAGGCCGAUGGCGACCGGCGCACGGGUGAGUAACACGUAUCCAACCUGCCGUCUACUCUUGGACAGCCUUCUGAAAGGAAGAUUAAUACAAGAUGGCAUCAUGAGUCCGCAUGUUCACAUGAUUAAAGGUAUUCCGGUAGACGAUGGGGAUGCGUUCCAUUAGAUAGUAGGCGGGGUAACGGCCCACCUAGUCUUCGAUGGAUAGGGGUUCUGAGAGGAAGGUCCCCCACAUUGGAACUGAGACACGGUCCAAACUCCUACGGGAGGCAGCAGUGAGGAAUAUUGGUCAAUGGGCGAGAGCCUGAACCAGCCAAGUAGCGUGAAGGAUGACUGCCCUAUGGGUUGUAAACUUCUUUUAUAAAGGAAUAAAGUCGGGUAUGGAUACCCGUUUGCAUGUACUUUAUGAAUAAGGAUCGGCUAACUCCGUGCCAGCAGCCGCGGUAAUACGGAGGAUCCGAGCGUUAUCCGGAUUUAUUGGGUUUAAAGGGAGCGUAGAUGGAUGUUUAAGUCAGUUGUGAAAGUUUGCGGCUCAACCGUAAAAUUGCAGUUGAUACUGGAUAUCUUGAGUGCAGUUGAGGCAGGCGGAAUUCGUGGUGUAGCGGUGAAAUGCUUAGAUAUCACGAAGAACUCCGAUUGCGAAGGCAGCCUGCUAAGCUGCAACUGACAUUGAGGCUCGAAAGUGUGGGUAUCAAACAGGAUUAGAUACCCUGGUAGUCCACACGGUAAACGAUGAAUACUCGCUGUUUGCGAUAUACGGCAAGCGGCCAAGCGAAAGCGUUAAGUAUUCCACCUGGGGAGUACGCCGGCAAC
rnacentral:rRNA from 1 species